rnacentral:lncRNA from 1 species
CUUAAAGUAAAUGUUUAUCAUUAAACUGUUUAAUUUAGAUUUUAGGUUAAAAAUUUAUUGAGUUAAAAAAUGUAGGCUAUAGUCGCGCAAACCAGAUUCCCUCCAGUUGCCUAAACCGGAUCCCUUAUUUUUCAUGUGUAAAGUCUGCCUGUAUUUGUACACACUCUUAACUCUUGGAUUUCUGUUGCAGAUUGAGCUGGGGCUGAAAAGGAUGCAUACAUCUGCGAUUUUUGUCGCUAAACGAUUUAAUUCGGUUAUACAUUUUCUGUAUAUUUUAGAAUACAUUCUGUAUCUUUUUUUAAAAAGUAAAACCUGUAAUUGUUAUAUUACAUUUAUACUUUGAAACUAGAAUAUGUUUUCUCUGAUUUAAUACCCUUUUCUAAUUUUAUUUAGUCUUAUUUUGAUUAUUUUUAUGAGGG